rnacentral:rRNA from 1 species
UCGAACGCUGAUUACAGGUACCAUAUCCUGAGUCGAGUGGCGCAAGGUGCGUAACACGUGGGUAAUUGCCCGUGAAGUGGGGAUAACUCGCUGAAAGGCGAGCUAAUACNCGGAUGUGANAUCAGGAGGGCAUCUUCUGAUUUUAAAGUGNNGGACCCGCAAGGCCUGACGCUUCACGAUAAGCCCGCGGCCUAUCAGCUAGUUGGUGAGGUAACGGCUCACCAAGGCUAAGACGGGUAGCUGGUCUGAGAGGACGACCAGUCACACUGGAACUGAGACACGGUCCAGACACCUACGGGUGGCAGCAGUCGAGAAUUUUUCUCAAUGGGCGAAAGCCUGAAGGAGCGACGCCGCGUGGGGGAUGAAGGGCUUCGGCUCGUAAACCCCUGUCAUUUGCGAACAAACCUCGCGGUUGAAUAGAUCGCGAGCUGAUAGUAGCGAAAGAGGAAGGGACGGCUAACUCUGUG